rnacentral:precursor_RNA from 1 species
ACCCACCUUCACCAUGUGAGCUCUCUCUCUCUCUCUCUCUCUCUCUCUCUCUCUCUCUCUCUGUGUAUAGAGACAUACAUGAUGAGUAUGGGAGAAUCUGUAAAGCUCAGGAGGGAUAGCGCCACGAACAAUCAAUCACAUAAACUUUUACAUAAAGUUGUUGUUUUUGAUGAUGAUGAUGAUGAGCUGUUGUACUGGCGCUAUCUAUCCUGAGUUUCAUGGCUUCUUCUUGCUAUAUAUGUGGUGCAAUUUCAGUCUCUCUCAAAGGGCAACAACGACUUGUCUCUUCUAGGGUAUGUGUUUGUUUUUUAGCUUUAUACGUGUUACUUGAUUUAUGCUAAUCUAUUUUAUUUCCAUGCUUCUUUAUGUUGCUCUAAUUAAUAUCAGGCUCUUUGACCUCUUUGUAAAGACAAUACCAAGGAUUUCUUAGCUUGUAAACACUUGUUCACAGAUUAAUUAAUUAACAAUCUGCGAUCUAUCUCCUACGUACUUCUUCACGUUAUCCUCACUUUUAACUCUCUUUUGUCAAUUACUACUUCCCAGUCCUUGUAUAUAUCCUUUCUAAUUCCCAACGCUAGUCUGGUAUUGAAUAUUUUGUGUCUCGGAUGAACGGUUUUAUAGAUUUUGCAUCGCAAACCGAUUUUACACUUCCGUCAGUCCAUCUGGUUUCUCUAUUGUAUUUACCCUCCUUAUUACUUCGUCUUUCUUGUUGGGACCUGAGUUUGUAAAAUGAUCACUCACAUGUGUCUGUCCACAAAUCAUGUCAACAAAUUAAAUCAUCGGCUUUUUCUUCAUACAUAUAUAUAGAUAUAUUUCUCCUACUAGAUCAUAUAUCUUUGAUGGGU